rnacentral:rRNA from 1 species
CAGUAGCCACGGUAAUACGGAGGGUGCAAGCGUUAAUCGGAAUUACUGGGCGUAAAGCGCACGCAGGCGGUCUGUCAAGUCAGAUGUGAAAUCCCCGGGCUUAACCUGGGAACUGCAUUUGAAACUGGCAGGCUAGAGUCUUGUAGAGGGGGGUAGAAUUCCAGGUGUAGCGGUGAAAUGCGUAGAGAUCUGGAGGAAUACCGGUGGCGAAGGCGGCCCCCUGGACAAAGACUGACGCUCAGGUGCGAAAGCGUGGGGAGCAAACAGGAUUAGAUACCCGUGUAGUCCCUGUCUCUUAUAU